GACAGAGGGUGCUAGCGUUGUUCGGAAUUACUGGGCGUAAAGGGCGCGUAGGCGGCUUCUCAAGCGUGCGGUGAAAGCUCGGGGCUUAACUCCGAGUCUGCCGUGCGAACUGGGAGGCUUGAGUCUGGUAGAGGUCGAUGGAAUUCCGGGUGUAGCGGUGGAAUGCGUAGAGAUCCGGAAGAACACCGGUGGCGAAGGCGGUCGACUGGGCCAGUACUGACGCUGAGGCGCGACAGCGUGGGGAGCAAACAGG
rnacentral:rRNA from 1 species